rnacentral:rRNA from 1 species
UACGUAGGUGGCAAGCGUUGUUCGGAAUUAUUGGGCGUAAAGGGCGCGUAGGCGGUUUGCUAAGUCAGUUGUGAAAGCCCGGGGCUCAACCCCGGAGAGUCGGCUGAUACUGGUGGACUAGAGUACGGAAGAGGUAGCUGGAAUUCCCGGUGUAGCGGUGAAAUGACGUAGAUAUCGGGAGGAACACCUGAGGCGAAGGCGGGCUACUGGGCCGAUACUGACGCUGAGGCGCGAAAGCCAGGGGGAGCAAACGGG